CCCUUAGAUGUCCUGGGCCGCACGCGCGCUACACUGAGUGUCUGAGAUACGAGUCUGCCUGGUCCGGCAAGGUCUAGGUAAUCGCUAAAAGACACAUCAUGCUUGGGAUAGAUUAUUGCAGAUAUUAAUCUUGAACGAGGAAUUCCUAGUAAGCGCAAGUCAACAGCUUGCGUUGAUUACGUCCCUGCCCUUUGUACACACCGCCCGUCGCUACUACUGAUUGGAUGUUUAAGCGAGGUUCUCGAACUGCUAGCGACUUAGCUUCGGUGAGGUCGCAGUGUGGGAAGUGAACCGAGCUUUGGUGUCUAGAGGAAGUAAAAGUCGUAACA
rnacentral:rRNA from 1 species